rnacentral:rRNA from 1 species
UACGAAGGGGGCGAGCGUUGUUCGGAAUCACUGGGCGUAAAGGGCGCGUAGGCGGCCCUUCUUGUCGCGUGUGAAAGCCCCGGGCUCAACCUGGGAAUGGCGCGCGAGACGGGGGGGCUGGAGUUCGGGAGAGGAGCGUGGAAUUCCAGGUGUAGCGGUGAAAUGCGUAGAUAUCUGGAGGAACACCGGUGGCGAAGGCGGCAUCCUGGACCGGCAUUGACGCUGAGGCGCGAAAGCUAGGGGAGCAAACGGG